UACGUAGGGAGCAAGCGUUAUCCGGAUUUACUGGGUGUAAAGGGCGCGUAGGCGGGCCUGCAAGUCAGAAGUGAAAUCUGGGGGCUUAACCCCCAAACUGCUUUUGAAACUGUGGAUCUUGAGUGAUGGAGAGGCAGGCGGAAUUCCCAGUGUAGCGGUGAAAUGCGUAGAUAUUGGGAGGAACACCAGUGGCGAAGGCGGCCAACUGGGCUUUAACUGACGUUGAGGCCCGAAAGCGUGGGGAGCAAACAGG
rnacentral:rRNA from 1 species